GAUGAAGAACGUAGCGAAAUGCGAUAAGUAAUGUGAAUUGCAGAAUUCAGUGAAUCAUCGAAUCUUUGAACGCACAUUGCGCCCGCCAGUAUUCUGGCGGGCAUGCCUUUUCGAGCGUCAUUUCAACCCUCAGGCCCCCAGUGCCUGGUGUUGGGGAUCGGCCCAGCCUUCCUGUAAGGCCGCCGGCCCCGAAAUCUAGUGGCGGUCUCGCUGUAGUCCUCCUCUGCGUAGUAGCACAACCUCGCAGUUGGAACGCGGCGGUGGCCAUGCCGUUAAACACCCCACUUCUGAAAGUUGACCUCGGAUCAGGUAGGAAUACCCGCUGAACUUAAGCAUAUCAAUAAGCGGAGGA
rnacentral:misc_RNA from 1 species